rnacentral:rRNA from 1 species
UACGUAGGGUGCGAGCGUUACUCGGAAUUACUGGGCGUAAAGCGUGCGUAGGUGGUGAGUUAAGUCUGUCGUGAAAGCCCCGGGCUCAACCUGGGAAUGGCGAUGGAUACUGGCUCGCUAGAGUGCGGUAGAGGAGAGUGGAAUUCCCGGUGUAGCAGUGAAAUGCGUAGAGAUCGGGAGGAACAUCUGUGGCGAAGGCGACUGCCUGGACCAGCACUGACACUGAGGCACGAAAGCGUGGGGAGCAACAGG